rnacentral:lncRNA from 1 species
GGUUUCAGACUCAAACUGGUAUUAAUUGCCAACCACUAUGAUACUUUUAGGGUAUUAGGGAUGUAUAUGUUGGAGGACAGGAGAAAAAUGGAGAUUACCUAGAGAUGAGAGAUAAAAGUCCUGCGUCAGGGAAUUUGGGGCUGAGAGGCAAAACUGAAUUCUUUUAUUAAACAUGUUCCAGAGAAACAAGAGUGAAAGCUUCAAAACAUG